GUGUUUUAUUGCUCUUUGAGGCCCACUAAGAGGCUCAGUGCUGUUUCAUAGUCCAGAGUAGCAGCAGCUCUUUAUUCUUUUUAACACACAGCUGAAAAAUACUCAAGUUCUGUUACAAAAUGGUGUGAUUCCUUUUUUUUUGCCAGUCCGCCCUCAAAACCGCACGUACUCCCCCCACUGUAGGCGGCAAACAGCACUCUCCAUGCAAUUAAAGGGGAGCAGACGUGCACAGGGAAAAACGUCGCCUUCCACAGCACUGUCUGCACAAAGAGGGUCUCCAUUUUGAAAAAGAAACAAAAACAAACCACACUAUGAUAAUGGUUUGCAAAGACAUGACAUCUGAGAAGACAAAAACCUCCGGAGUUGCGAUUCCUUCCCAAAACACCCCUUGUUUUCUCAGGUUGUGUGUUCGGAUGCUGAAAGAAUCAUAGAGGCUGCGGCGAAGCUUCUUAGCCCUGCCCCUUCCUCCCUGGGCCUAAGGCUGCGCGCGGAGCGAAGCAGAAAGGAGUCGCCAUGUUUUCUUUACAUGGAGGGUCUAAAUAAAAAAUGAAGGCAGUAGAGCUUCAGGACGUUGCAAAGGACCAGAAGGAGUGGGUCUCAAGAGCCAAAUUCGGAAAAGAAUAUAUUAUACCCAUCAUAUCAGUGAGUCAUGCCAGCUACUGUAUGCACCGGGGCUGAAGGAUCUUGACCUCCACAAGGUACUUUUUACCCUCUGAAUUCAUGAGAUUAGAUGAAAGGUCUGCUCAGAGAUCC
rnacentral:lncRNA from 1 species